AGCGAACGCUGGCGGCAGGCCUAACACAUGCAAGUCGAACGAAGUCUUCGGACUUAGUGGCGGACGGGUGAGUAACACGUGGGAACGUGCCCUUAGGUUCGGAAUAACUCAGGGAAACUUGUGCUAAUACCGAAUGUGCCCUUCGGGGGAAAGAUUUAUCGCCUUUAGAGCGGCCCGCGUCUGAUUAGCUAGUUGGUGAGGUAAAGGCUCACCAAGGCGACGAUCAGUAGCUGGUCUGAGAGGAUGAUCAGCCACAUUGGGACUGAGACACGGCCCAAACUCCUACGGGAGGCAGCAGUGGGGAAUCUUGCGCAAUGGGCGAAAGCCUGACGCAGCCAUGCCGCGUGGAUGAUGAAGGUCUUAGGACUGUAAAAUCCUUUCACCGGUGAAGAUAAUGACUGUAGCCGGAGAAGAAGCCCCGGCUAACUUCGUGCCAGCCGCCGCGGUAACAC
rnacentral:rRNA from 1 species